UUUGCAACUGCCACCCCCAGGGCUUCCCGCAGGCACGCAACACCUUGCAGGUCCUCUCUCUGUGAGCACAGACUAUGUCCUCUUUGUGUUAACCUGAAGUAUUAGCUUUGACAGCUGAUACCUGGCAUUUGCAAGGUAAAGCCAGUGUUAAUUAAUGAGGCAUAUUUUCAACUCUCUGUUAACUAAAAAGAAAGUCAUCAUAUUCAAAAAUGGUCAUGAUGACAACUCAUCGCCAGGAGGAGAGCCAUGGGGAAGGUUUGCAACAUCCUUACUAUAAAAGUUAUAAAUUGAAAUAAUGAUGACAUGGAAUAAAAGGAGAAACCAAAAGCAGGAAAAUGUGGAAACAUGUUCAAGGAGGAAGAACUAACACAGUCAUUUGUGUUGAGCCUCUUGACGGCCAAGCAAAACUUAAGGAAGUGAGAACGAGACUGACCAUCCUAGAACCAAUCUGGGGACUUAGGUGCCAUGUGUCAUGUGUGAUCUGUGCGGGGCCAGCAAAGCCACAGCUGGUGGUCAGCAAAUGAAAACUAUUCCCCACAGAUCCCAUCCCCCCAGAGAAUGUCGGCAUGAUAAUUUUCCACUUCCAUCUAACUUAGCUUCCUGUUCACUGUAAGAUCUGAAUAAAUGCUUUUUCCUCAUA
rnacentral:lncRNA from 1 species